CAUGUCCUUUAGUUUAUAAUUUAAGGUCUGAUCUGCUCAAUGAUUAUUUAAAUUGCCGCAGUAUUUUGACUGUGCAAAGGUAGCAUAGUAAUUAGCUUCUUGAUUAGGAGCUGGAAUGAAUGAUUGGACAAGAAAAUUUCUGUCUCUAUUUAAUUGUUUAUUGAAUUUUAUUUUUAAGUUAAAAAGCUUAAAUGUUUGUAAAAGACGAGAAGACCCUAUAGAGUUUAAUAUUUUAAUUUUAUUUAUUAAUAGAAUGAUUUUUGGGAUUUAAGUAUUUAGUUGGGGUGAUUUAAAGAUUAGAAUAAUUCUUUGAUAUUUUUAUUGAUGAUAAUUAAAUUAUAAAUCUAUGAUUUUAAGUUUAAUACAAAUUACCUUAGGGAUAACAGCGUUAUUUUUCUUUAAAGCUCUUAUUAAAAGAAGAUUUUGCGACCUCGAUGUUGGAUUAAAAUUAAUUUUAGGUGCAGUUACUUAAUAAUUGGGUCUGUUCGACCCUUAAAAUUUUACAUGAUCUGAGUUUAAACCGGCGUAAGCCAGGUUGGAUUCUAUCUUUAAAUAGUUAAAAUAUUUUAGUACGAAAGGACCAAGUAUAAAUUAAAUUAAUUG
rnacentral:rRNA from 1 species